AGAGUUUGAUCCUGGCUCAGGACGAACGCUGGCGGCGUGCUUAACACAUGCAAGUCGAACGGAAAGGCCCUUUCGGGGGUACUCGAGUGGCGAACGGGUGAGUAACACGUGGGUGAUCUGCCCUGCACUUUGGGAUAAGCCUGGGAAACUGGGUCUAAUACCGAAUAUGACCAUGCACUUCCUGGUGUGUGGUGGAAAGCUUUUGCGGUGUGGGAUGGGCCCGCGGCCUAUCAGCUUGUUGGUGGGGUAAUGGCCUACCAAGGCGACGACGGGUAGCCGGCCUGAGAGGGUGACCGGCCACACUGGGACUGAGAUACGGCCCAGACUCCUACGGGAGGCAGCAGUGGGGAAUAUUGCACAAUGGGCGCAAGCCUGAUGCAGCGACGCCGCGUGAGGGAUGACGGCCUUCGGGUUGUAAACCUCUUUCAGCACAGACGAAGCGCAAGUGACGGUAUGUGCAGAAGAAGGACCGGCCAACUACGUGCCAGCAGCCGCGGUAAUACGUAGGGUCCGAGCGUUGUCCGGAAUUACUGGGCGUAAAGAGCUCGUAGGUGGUUUGUCGCGUUGUUCGUGAAAACUCACAGCUUAACUGUGGGCGUGCGGGCGAUACGGGCAGACUUGAGUACUGCAGGGGAGACUGGAAUUCCUGGUGUAGCGGUGGAAUGCGCAGAUAUCAGGAGGAACACCGGUGGCGAAGGCGGGUCUCUGGGCAGUAACUGACGCUGAGGAGCGAAAGCGUGGGGAGCGAACAGGAUUAGAUACCCUGGUAGUCC
rnacentral:rRNA from 1 species